rnacentral:rRNA from 1 species
AACGAGCGCUGGCGGCAUGCCUAACACAUGCAAGUCGAACGAGACCUUCGGGUCUAGUGGCGCACGGGUGCGUAACGCGUGGGAAUCUGCCCUUGGGUUCGGAAUAACAGUUGGAAACGACUGCUAAUACCGGAUGAUGACGUAAGUCCAAAGAUUUAUCGCCCAGGGAUGAGCCCGCGUAGGAUUAGCUAGUUGGUGGGGUAAAGGCCUACCAAGGCGACGAUCCUUAGCUGGUCUGAGAGGAUGAUCAGCCACACUGGGACUGAGACACGGCCCAGACUCCUACGGGAGGCAGCAGUGGGGAAUAUUGGACAAUGGGCGAAAGCCUGAUCCAGCAAUGCCGCGUGAGUGAUGAAGGCCUUAGGGUUGUAAAGCUCUUUUACCCGGGAUGAUAAUGACAGUACCGGGAGAAUAAGCCCCGGCUAACUCCGUG